GAAAUAGCAUUACCCGUUUACGACAACCAUAUACCGUUCUGGAAGGACUUUGUUUCCGGGUUUUUGCACAAAAUAAAUAUUCUUAAUUUUUGUUUCAUUGUUUUGCUGCUUUCAUAAAAGAACAAAGGUAGUGUCUGUACAUAUAAAAAAGAGUUGUGUCAUCACGACCAAAACUCAGUGAUAGGUGAAUUGAACUAUAUGAGGACAUUAAAAAUAGUCAAUAUUGAGAUGUAAAGAGACAGUUUCAGAGUAAUCACAUACAUGAACAUUUCAAGACUCAACUAAAUUGACGAGAUAGAAACCCAACCCACCCUAAACGUCGACUGAUGGAGGUUCCGUCCACUGUUUGUGAUGUCAACAACAGACAAUUCUGUUAAAAUGUGCUGCAAAAGGUUAGAGAAACUACAAAGACAGUCAGCACACCUUCGGUCAAGACUAGCAUAAAACUUAGUGCUUUGAUCAUGGAGUUUAUGCAUAAAAUCUCCCCAGGUCAGCAUAAAACACAACACCUCAGUCUCAUCAACUCGCUGGAGGGGGUAGCUGCCAUAAUCAUCAUACUUUAAAAUCUCAUAAUGCUGCACAAAUGGAACAUAAUUGCAUUAAACCAGACAAAAGUUGGAGGUUGCUGCUUUGAUGUGGCACUGUGGUCCAGGAUGGUUGACAAUAAGGACUGAUUGUGAUACUGCAUGGAUGGUUUAAAAUAAACACAUUCUGUGUUCAGUUUUGUUUUACAAUAAUUAGAAAACUGUAAAGUUUGUUUAUGCAUCUGGGUAAGGCUCGCUUUUGUAGACUGUGGUCAGCUUUGGUUCCUAGCUCACAUGUUAUGGCUCAUCCUUCAUCAGAUAGGUAAACAUUGUUUUCCUGGAGGACAUAUGGUUGACUAACCUGUAAAAGAAAGGAUCUUUAAAUGUUUUAUAUACUGUUGUAUGUUGUUCCUACUGAAAAUUUAUGUAUUUACAAUACAGAAGACAGAACAAUCAGUUAAUUACCUAAUACUUAUUAAAGCAUUGAAUGGCUUAUAAAAAAAUGGGUGUAUCUAAAGGUCAGUUUUUUUUUUAAAUAAUGUAUACAAUUCCAUUUACCUGUAGUAGUCAUAUUGUAUAUCAUAUUGCGUUUGUUGGCAGUCUAUAGUUCCCUAGUUUCAUGUAUUUGAUUGCAAAAAUUGUAAGCUUCUUGUUUUUUUUAUAUUUGUUAAAAGCAGUAUGUGUAUUUGUUCUUUAGUAAAUAUGUCAUUGAUAAUACAAUAAAAAGUAUAGAGACUUGAUCAGAGGCCAAACAUUUAACAUAUACCCCGUUAAGUGGCAUAGGGGCAUAGCCACACAUUUGACAAUAUGAACACAUGAACUAGUAACAACAACAAACAGAGCAAACAAAGAAAAUGUAUUUCAUCAUAAAUAUUUCAUUCCAUAUUAUGUUAUAUGGUUGUUUUGUAUUUUAAUUAACUAUUCAUUAUAAAGUUUGUUUAUAUUUGUUGUUACAAAGUUGUGUGACUAUUUCAUAUGUUUGACAAAGUUUCAUGGUUGUUAAUAUUUUAAAAAAUAAAAUUCAUAAUAAAACAUA